rnacentral:pre_miRNA from 1 species
GUUUUAGGAUAAGUAUAUCUCAUGCAAUAUUUGGGCUAUACUUAUCCUAAAA